GACGAACGCUGGCGGCGUGCCUAACACAUGCAAGUUGAGCGCUGAAGGUUGGUACUUGUGCCAACUGGAUGUGCCGCGCACGGGUGAGUAACGCGUGGGGAAUCUGCUUUUGAGCGGGGGACAACAUUUGGACACGAAUGCUAAUACCGCAUAAAAACUUUAAACACAAGUUUUAAGUUUGAAAGAUGCCAUUGCAUCACUCAAAGAUGAUUCCGCGUUGUAUUAGGUAGUUGGUGAGGUAAAGGAUCAACAAGGCGAUGUUACAUAGCCGAACUGAGAGGGGGGUUGGCCAGAUUGGGAGGGAGACACGGCCCAAUCGGCCACGGGUAGCAGCCGUAGGGAAUCUUGGGCAAUGGGUGGAAGACAGACCGAGCAAGGCCGCGGGAGUGUAGAAGGUUUUCGGGUGGGAAAACUCUGUUGGUAGGGAAGAACGUGGGUGAGCGUGUAAAGAUCAGCAAGUGACGGUAACUACUCAGAAAGGGACGGCUAACUACGUG
rnacentral:rRNA from 1 species